ACAGCUUUAGCCCUGUAGCCAAGUUGGUCACUGUUCGACUUUUCCUUGCGAUAGCCACUUCUUUUGGUUGGCCCAUUCAUCAAAUAGACGUUAACAAUGCCUAUCUCCAUGGAACCAUUGAAGAGGAGCUCUACAUGUUACCCCUACCCGGCUAUACAAAGGCUACACCAGGACAAGUGUGCAAGCUUAAGAAGUCCUUAUACGGGCUAAAGCAAGCUGCCCGUCAGUGGAAUAAGGAAUUUGCAUGCAAACUAAUCUAGUUUGGUUUCACUCAAUGCUCUCACGACCAUUGCCUGUUCACGCGAGGUACUGG
rnacentral:misc_RNA from 1 species